AUGAACGCUGGCGGCGUGCCUCAUCCAUGCAAGUCGCGCGAACGGACGAGAAGCUUGCUUCUCUGAUGUUAGCGGCGGACGGGUGAGUAACACGUGGAUAACCUACCUAUAAGACUGGGAUAACUUCGGGAAACCGGAGCUAAUACCGGAUAAUAUUUUGAACCGCAUGGUUCAAAAGUGAAAGACGGUCUUGCUGUCACUUAUAGAUGGAUCCGCGCUGCAUUAGCUAGUUGGUAAGGUAACGGCUUACCAAGGCAACGAUGCAUAGCCGACCUGAGAGGGGGAUUGGCCAAACUGGAACUGAGACACGGUCCCAACUCCCACGGGAGGCAGGAGUAGGGAAUCUUUCGGCAUGGGCGGAAGCCUGACGGGACCACGCCGGGGUGGGUGAGAAGGUCUUCGGAUCGUAAAACUCUGUUAUUAGGGAAGAACAUAUGUGUAAGUAACUGUGCACAUCUUGACGGUACCUAAUCAGAAAGCCACGGCUAACUACGUG
rnacentral:rRNA from 1 species